CGGGAAGCAUAAGCAGAGGCGUGUUGAUAAAGCACUUCGUUCAUUUGGGGUCAUGUUUAGAAAAUCCAGUGUGCGGCAUGUGAAGCGUCCGGCGUGUUCCGGAGGACAGACAGGGAAAGGUCACGCUGAUCUCGUCCCUGCAGCCGUAACGGGGACAUUUUCACCACAUUCCACAAAGAGUGCGUGGAGACAGCGGCGGCCAUUGUUCUUCUCUCCCCUGACCACAAGCUUAUUUACCUUGAGGACAACAGGUAGAUAACCCAGAAACGCCCGUCUUUACUAAUGCCCUGUACACAGGAGGUUGUCUCUAACCACCCAAUACAGUCGGACUGUUCCUGCUGCCUCUCGCCUCUCGUCUCUCUUCCACGAGUGCAAUGCAUGAUGGGACACAUCGCUCGGUUAGUCACCAUCGGCUUUACACUAUUUCUCCAGAUGCAUUAUGGAAAACAAAGAGUAUAUAGGGAGUGAAGAGAUUCACUAAAUGGCCAUCUUACGAUAUAGUGAUUGGUGAAUGAUUUCGGACAAAGCCCAUGCAUGCAACACAUGAUUAGUUAGUGCGUCUCCCCCCCCCAUCUUUGACUGGAGGCUACAGAUGCCAUCACCCUUAUCGCUGUUAAAGCUUUAGUGAAUAUAGUUUUCUGACAUCGGCUCCUGCUCAGUUUAGCUGAAGCAUGAUGCUCAAGCAUCGGAUGUCUCGUUGAUUGCCGGCACCGUCACCUCUUUGAAUAACGGCUCGUCACUGAAGCACAAUGAAUCCUGGGAAGGCCUUCGAUUCUCCCAGGUGGAAGGACGCUGCGUCAGCCGGGGGUUGAAGGACCAAUCGAAAAGAAACAAUCGAGUCGUGUCACUGUGACGCAAUCGGUCUUGAAACGAUUUUCAAUUCCACGUGAGGAUGAGUUGAAGCCGUUGGCCUUGAGGAAAAUAAGUGAGAACAUCUGAAACACUGCAGCACUGUUGGCAACAAUAAUAUAAAGUGUGUGAUAUAGUAAA